ACUGGAUGCACCUAAAUGCUCUAAUCACUGGAAUGAUGGUAACGAUGGACAGAACAUCGCUCAACGUGUCUCAGGCAGUGACACCCUGGGAUCUACAUUAGAGGGUCAAGUGUAACCUUCAGAGCAAACUCAUGAGAGAGAGAGGAAAUGAGAGAGGGAGAAACAUUAAUGUGAGAGAGAAACAUCAACUGAUUUCCUUUCACAGGCACGCAGACCAGGGAUCAUUCUCACACCUGAGUGUUCUGCGGUGUGAAUGCAUCACAGCUCGUUUAUCCACUCACCCACUGACGGGCACCUGGGCUGUUCCCGAGCUUGGCUGCUGUAAAUCACGCUGUGAUGGACAGAGGGGCAUAUCAGCCCUUGUGCUGCACCUGAAGCCCCGUCCAACCCUCCCUCUCAAGAAUCUGCCAGUUUUACUCCAAGGACAACCUGUCUGGUGGAAGCUAAGCAACACAACCCUGCUGUGAUGAAGGG